rnacentral:rRNA from 1 species
UACAGAGGUCUCAAGCGUUGUUCGGAUUCAUUGGGCGUAAAGGGUGUGUAGGUGGCGCGCUAAGUCGGGUGUGAAAUUUCGGAGCUUAACUCCGAAACUGCAUUCGAUACUGGCGUGCUUGAGGACUGGAGAGGAGACUGGAAUUCAUGGUGUAGCAGUGAAAUGCGUGGAGAUCAUGAGGAAGACCAGUGGCGAAGGCGGUGCUCUGGGCCGGAACUGACACUGAGGAGCGAAAGCGUGGGUAGCAAACAGG